CUCUUUCUCGCGUACUCUUUUGCUCCUCGAACGGAGCGCGAGUCGGAGGAAGAGAGGCGCACAGGAUGGCGGGGCGAGAGUCGGCUUACUACGCGGCGAAACGCCUCGACGGCGUUCAGUCGUCAGCGAUCAGACCGCCGGGCAGUGCGGACCCACUCUUCCGAACAGUCACUCACUCUCUCUCCUACUCUCCUCUCUUUAUCUCGUAUACAUUAUACCCUGCAACUCCUACGUACCUGUCCAACUCAUAUUCGCGAUGUAUACAUAUAUAUAUUUUUCGAAGAAUCAAUCCACUCUUCCUUCCCUUCAAUUCCAAUUUCGAAUUUCUCGAAUUUCGAAAUCGCCGUCCGCGGACUCGGUAACGAGAAGAAUACGUUCGUAAUACGUGACUCGAUAUUAAUCGAGAAAAAGAGAGAUAGAGAGAGAGAAAAAAAGAGAGAGAGACAGAGAGACAGAGAGAGAGAGAGAGAGAGAGAGAGAGAGAGAGAAAGAGAAAGAGAGGGAGAUAGAGAAGAAUUCGAGAAUCGAACACGUUUUGGGAGAUCGUUGAAAAUCGUAAACGAACACGAAUUCGAACGAGGGAUGGAUGGAUUCACUCGGCCAAUUUAUUCGAGGAAAGAUAAAGUGAACGUCCUCCUACGAAUAAAACGAAGACGCAUCAUCGAGACGAGAAAAAUGGAAUCAUCUAACAACGUCGGAAGAUCUUGUAAAUGACGGAAGAGGAUAGAUAGUGUACGAUUUUAUACGACGAAAGUUAUUAUUUUUUUUUUUUAAGUUCUCUUCUUUUUUUCCUUUCUUUCUUUCGUUCUUUUUUUUUCUUCUUUGUUCUUUGUUUUUUCUUCUCUCUCUUAUUCUCUUUUUUCUUCUUUUUUUUUUCUUUUUUUUUUUUCUUUUUUGACAAUUUUACUUUUCGCCGUGAUAUAAGCGAAAUCGAGGAGAAUUUUAAUCGCGAGCAACGGAACAACGGGGGUGUUUUAGACAGGGCCCAAGUGAGAAGGAAUUUGUAACGAGUCGAGAAGUUUGUGCGACUUUUACGUGCCGCGUAAGCACGUGGGUAUUCGAAUUCACGGAGAAACAAACAACUACACAACACACUUUCUUGUCAAUGAACGAGGACGAUAGAGAGACUUCGAUCGUAACGAAGAUUAAAUACGAGACUCAAAAGCAAGCAAGCAAGAAAGCAAGAAAGAAAGAAAGAAAGAAAGAAAGAAAGAAAGAGAGAAAGAAAGAGAGAAAUGAGAAAGAAAGAAAAAAGAAAAAAGAAAAACAAUCGCACGAGAGAAGAAAGGGUGGGGUGAGUCGAGUCGGUUUUUAUACAACGACUCAUUUUUUCAUGUGCGGAUAACGAAGAAGGAAACAGUGUUACGUAGAUAAAAGUAAAAACGUAUUUAAUGUGCGGUAUGAUAAUAUCGUAACAGUGUGGGAGAAAGCUGCACGACGAUAUUUUCUCAAAGGAAAAUUUCAUAAUCGGGCGUAUUUUAUUGUCGAGCGAGAAAAAUGUAUGCGCGGACGCGUUAUCCGCCGACGGAUGGACGACGAUUCGAGGACGAUCGAGAAUGCGACUUGCGAGACACGGCCACGCUCGCGGAGAGGAAUAAUACGCGCGUCUCUUCGCGUGCGGACGGUAAGAAUAGUUUGAUCGUUAAAUUUCAAAGGGGGAUGCCGAGUUACUUUACGAUUUAUGACGCAUUCAUCGCUUUUAUAGUAAGAAUACUAUCCUAUGUGAAUUUGAUCGAAAGAUGAGAGUUAAAAGUGUAAUCGGCAAAAGUCGAAUAAUCAACGAAGAAGAUACGAAAAAGUGAAUGAGUGAGUGAGUGAGAGAGAGAGAGAGAGAGAGAGAGAGAGAGAGAGAGAGAGAGAGAGUAUAGGAGCCAAACGAUACGGCCCUGGUCUCUCGGUGGUUGAUAGGGUAUAAUCAUGCCGAGUUUCAUAUCUCGAAGGGGCCACGGGAAGAUGGUCCAACAUCUGCCGCUGCAGGGAAUCUCUGCCCACAUGCUGGCCAGCAUACGGACGCACACGUACGCGUUCGCGUACAAGCGCAAAAAGUGACGUAGGUACACGGUGGGACGUCAUGUAAAUUCAUUCGAAACACAUGGCAGGACCCGAGAGCGCGCGGCGUUUCUCUUCUCUGCAAAAGGCUUUCGAGAAAAGGAAUCUCGAAGAUGGCAGAAAAAGAGACCAUAACUUUGACUUCGACUUUGGUACUCCGGCUAUUUCAGGCCGUGUCACGGAUCAAAUAAAUCCCUAUCCUAGUAGAGUUCCUUCCUCCCUUUUGUAUUUUCUUUUCGAGCGGUCUUCCUUUGAAACGUUCGACAGUUAAAUAUAUCUAAAUAAUUUGAAAUUAAUAUAAAAUGAUGUCAAAUUCUUGACGAAAGGUUCUUUCUCUUUUUUUUCUUUUUCUUUUUUCUUUUUUUUUUUUUUUUUUUUUUUUUCUUUUUUUCUUCCCAACAAUGUAUCAAUUUUUACAUUCGAUAUAAAAAUUAAUAGCGAGAGCUUGAUA